CAAAUGCAGUGUCUAUGUAUGGAAGUAAUAUAUAAAUAUAAUACUUCCAUGGUCUAGGUAUCUAUUCAAAUCUGAGAUCCAAAUUUCCAAAAGUUUCUAAAAUAUAAAGGUCUGUAUAUAAAGGUCAUAACUUAAGUUUAUCAAUUAUUAUCAAAUAAGGAGUUUAAAACUCUCCUGCGAUUUAAAUUGCUUAUGGGUGUCCAACAGAUCAAUUUUUAAUAAAUACUAAAAAUUUGCAAAUAUCUGUAAAAAUUGAAGUCUUGUGCCAUGUUAAGAAAUUUCAAUAAUAAGAUAAUCACGUGUGCGAAAAUAUGUAAAAAAAUUACAUGUUUAAAUCUAAAAGUAUUCAUUUGACACUACAUGUAUGACUUUUCAAAUAACGGAGAACUUUUUAUAAUGGUCUUAGUAGAAAGAAAUUUAGAGGAAAUUAGCUCCACCGCUUUCUAUGUUAAAAUUAAUUUUUAUUUUUACCCUAUUAAAGUUAAACAUGAUGAAUUUCACUCCUUCUUUCAUUGCGAAACAAAUAAACAUGUAAGAAAUGAUUACUUCUCUGAAAUUGCUUCUCAAAAUACUGACUUUAUGAGUUGCACUAACAAACAAAAACUACAAUACAUACUCAAUCAAUAAAAUUUUCAACAGGUACAAAGUUUAGGCUCGUUUUUAAAACAGUCAAUGGAACUGAGGACAGGGGACUCUUGAUUUACCGAUGGUUAAAAUUUUUGUGGUAUAUUAAUAUGUUGUAAUUUGUAUUUUGAUUUUUCACUAUAUUAUAUACUUGCAACAAUUGAUAUAUACAUAUAUAUUAUAUGUAUGAGUGUAUGUUAGUUUUUUUUUCAGUUUGUCACAAACAUGUUUAAUUUGUUUAUAUGACAAUAAAGAUUAUUAUUAUUUAUUUUAUCAA